UUCUCUCUUCCUAGGCUCAAGAUGAACAUAUCUGCUUAUGCCUGUUUUUUUGCUUGCCUUUAAUCAUACAAAUAGCACCUAGCCUAUUCUUCCAUCUCCUUGCUGCUCCCCCACCCUCCUUCAUUAGAAGGUUCCCUCUGUUCCCAUUUCCUCUUUUACUUCAUUGUGAGCAGCUGGGCUAUGUGCUUACAGCAAAUUAGCUGUAAAAUAAAGCAGGCUUUUUUCCCUUUUUCUUUUUUUUCAGGGCGUUGUGGGAGAAAAGGUGGUUAGAGAAAUUAUCCUACAAUAAGCAAGUGUGGACAAGGAUCAAAUAAGCAGAAGAAAUAAUCCUGUUGGAGGGUUUGCUCACACAGAUGAACCAUAAAUGGGCCCUGGGCCUGUGCCAGGAUUCCAUUUAGGAGAAGGGGGAGCUAUUUGGCUGAUUUGUAAGGUACUCAGAAGAGUUUCUGGCAUAGAUGCAGCUCUAUAAGGAUUUUUGAAUCAAACAACUCUGUCAGCCUUCUUAAUGAUAUAUCUUAUUAGAAGCCACAAAUCAAAAUGAUAGUGAUGCAGUCUGAGAAAGAACCAAUCGGCUCAGAUACCAGGUGUGAACAGUUUGUACAAACUUUCUAUGACAUAGCAGCUGAAUACUAACCGGGAUGUCAGUUCUAAUACUUUUUCAGGUUUAAUUGCAUAUAUUGAAAUUGGAGCACAAUCUUAAAUAGAAGUGGUGAUGAUUGACUUCCUUAUAUUGCUCCUGACUGUACUGGAAAAGUUGGUCAGGGAGAGAGAUUACUGUAAAUAAUGGUAAGGGAAACUCUUAUAUUCUAUUUUAUUAAUAGUUUUUUUAAAAAUUAGAAACUGAUAGUGAAUUUUAUCCCAUGCUUUACUUUCUAUCAGGAUGGUUAUAUGAAUUGUUUAUUUUGUCCAAUUGAUGUUGUAACAUAUAUCAAUCCAUUUUCCAAGUUGGAGCGCCAUUGCAUUCCUGGAAUAAACCCUACUUGGUUAUGAUGCAUAACCUUUGUGUUAUACAUCUGAAUUUAGUAUACUAAGGUUUCAUUUAGCAUUUUUUUGUAUCUAUUAGGCAUAAGUGUGGGAUUAGUUACUAUUGUGCUAAUUUUGUAACAGAAAUUGGUAUGUUUCCAUCUUUUUAUGCUUGCAAAAUUUAAAUGAUGUAGGGAUUUUCUGUUUCUUGAAGGUGGUUAGAACUUCCGCAGACAAAAGUAUAGGGUUUUUGUGUGGAUCAUAUUUU
rnacentral:lncRNA from 1 species